ensembl:lncRNA
AUCGCCGGGGAGCGGAGCGCGUCCGGCGGCGAGUGUUGCACAUGCAGAAGAUGGCUGAACAAUUCCCAUUCUCUCAGCCUCUCCUCACAGGAGAUGUGCUUCAUACCUCUCAUCAACUUGGUGGCCCUUCUUUGGAUUUGCUCCAACAGGCUUUGAUUCAGCAAAGCACUUAAACAUGUGCCUGAUCUCAAUCCCAUCAAGUAGUCUCAUGGUAGCCAAGUGAAACAAGCAUGUGGUAAUGAAUAUGUUUAAGAGGACAUGUGCAAUUGUUUUGCCUAUAAGCACACAGGAUAGAGGUUGAAAUAUAGGAGACCAUUUUCUAAUAUGCUAUGAAGAAGAAAUACUUCUGAUGAAAUAGGACUAUUAUACUUGCCUUCAGACUUGGAGAAUAGAUUUCUGCUAAACAUAGUGAAGUGCUGGUGUGCUAUCACUCUGGAGAUUCUCAAGGAAGAGUGAAAUCCCUCAGGAGAAAGAUAAUGGUCACCAUAACUGCGAUGUUUAUGGCUGUUUCUCAGAUUCAGUAGCAUCAGAUGGCUGUGUGUGAGCUUCAGGGUGGCACCAUCAUAUUACAAGAAGUGAAAGAUAAAGAAAAGAAGAGCUGGUUGGCUGAGUUUCCCAUGCAACUUCAAGAAGAGUCAAGCCUCUUUUAGCUCACCAGCGACAAAGGCAUACGUGCAAAGUUUUUAAAAGAGCAUAGGCUGCAGUGAAAGCUGGAUGCUACCAGCACUAGGUUCUUCUCUUCCUCUCUGUCUGAGUAAAACUCAGGUUAUGACUUGCUUUCAACAUCCUGUCAAGAUCUGCUAAGUUCUUUUGUGAUCCAGCCUUUGCAGCUGUGCUGCACAAGGUCUUUUAUCAUGGCUUGUGCUGUGUUGCAGACCCAAAAUAUACCUGUUGUGCUUAACAGAUACUGCAAAAACCAUUGUCACUUCAAAGAAGAUCUCAUUUCUGACAGCAAGGAGAUGAAGCCAGUUAUUUCAGUAACACAGCUUUCAGAUCUCAAAUUUAAAGAUUUCUCAAAAAAUUUGGUUGAGCCAAUUUUCCUCUUUUAGACUAUGCACUAAAAGUCUGCUUUUUGGAAGACUCUUCCCACACCAGCUGUCUUCUGCUAUAUCACUGCAGCACUGGCUGUGGUAGGCAUGCUGGGAUGGGAAAGAGAUGUCAAAUAGAGAGGAGACAGAUAUGCACAUAGGAGAACUGAACUUAUCAGUAGUGUAUGGCAAUUAAAGGUAUCUUAAGACACACCCAGUGAUUACAGGAAGAUGGAUGUUUCUACCAUAUUUCCCUGUGAGAUGAGUGUAUGCUUUGAAAUUUCUGGUAGGAAAGAAAGGCAGCAGCAAUAAAGUUAGCACACAAACACCAUCUGUGAAAGCCAGAAAGCAUCUAUAGAUCCUCUGCAUGCUAAAGGCUUAUUACAUCAUGUAUGAGAAGGGAUAGAAAAAACCCAGAAAGAGGAAGGAGAUAGGGAAAUACAGAGUAAGCCUUCCCCCACCUCCCCAAAAGAAGCAUGAUAAAGCUAAGAAGUAAAUAUGAAUUAAAAAAUACUGUACAGACCAUCUGGACACUUAUAUGUUACUGCCAUACAAAUCAUAUGCAUUUUCCAUGUUGUGUAGAUAAAAUGAAUUAUUGCCAAUUAACACAAAGCUUCAGCCUGAGGCACUAUCCAUGCAUAUGUAAAAACUACAUUUAUCCUGAAGACACAAUUUAAAUAGAAAACCUGUAAGAAGGUUGCACUCCAAACAAGGCGGGAAUAUGCUGCGAGUCAGGAGAAUUUUGCUGGAAAUCUGUAAAACACAUCUAUUGCCUACAGAAAGGAGCAAUAAUAAACCCCUCCAGCUCAUGCUCCUUGCUUGGUACCCAAUCUUUAAGUCAGUUCCCUGGAUUCCUCUGUCUCUGCACAAUAAACAUCACUUAACAUAUCUAUUUUCUUCCCACUGUGCUCUACUCCCAGUACACACCAGCAGGCAACACCUGAAUUUACAGGAGAACACAAAGGCAGAGUCAUCUAAGGUGAAACUUUGAUUAUCCCAGUGGUAAGUUUCCAUCAUUUCACCCAACUACAAUGACUCCAGCUCUCUGGGACAUUUCUCUUCCCAGGGCCACUCACUUUUCCUCCUGUGUUAUGCAAUAUCAGUAAAAAAAAUUAUACUACAAGGUCAUCUCUGGUGCUGUUGGUUACAAAUUUCUCAGUGGAGGUGGUCAUUGAGGAGGCUUUGUUAAGCUGCCAUAGCCAGAACAGCUCUCCCCUCCCCACCUUCUUUUUUUUUUUUUUUUCUCUAUACCCUCCACUCUGCUGCUUUAUACUUUACAUAUCCUCUAAAGACCUCUCAGAGUGUAAUUUAAUUGCUGCUGGGGGAAGAAAAGUGCCCAUGAAUGGAAAAUUCUACUUUCUGCUCUUUCUAGUAGACCAUAGCAGAUAAUAUUUUUCUCUGGAGACUUCUUUUUAUUUAUUGAUAGAAGGUAUCCAUCUCAACUCACCAUUUCCAUGCCUGUACCUUCACUUGUAUUUUUCAUUUUGAGCACUUCAUAUACAUGCUGCUAACUGUGGAUUGCAGUGUUACAUGGUUUUAUCCCUGUAAUGCCAUGAUGAAUUGGGAAAUGUCACUGUACUGACUUUAUAGGCAACACAUUAAGCAUCAAUACAUUGUGAGCUCAAGCUUGUGGAAAAGCCAUUCAUUACAAAUGUGCUAAUUCUCUAUAAGCAUGUGCAAAGCUUGUCCCAAAUGCAGCAUAACUCAGAUCUGGCUUUUCCUGGGAUGGUUCUGUAACAUACUUAAAAAUAACAGAAAGAAAUUAAAUGUUACCUUCUUUUACUAUAUACUAAGUUUAUGUUAAACAUCUACCCAUUUUUGUUGACUUAAUUUUUAUAACAUUUUACCCUAGUUUUUUACUAAUUUUCCCAAAUUUACAAUGAAAAAUAUAGCAAAAAAUAAAUGGAAACUUAUUUAUUUUUCUUUUAUCUUAGGCUGACUGAUGGAAUAUCUUUGCCUUCAUUUCUUUCAGUAUUUUUGGAUGUGAUUCUUGAUUUAAUAUAGCAUCUUUCAUGCUUAGGCAUCUCAGAGAGUGUUUAACAAAAAAAAUAACACCACAUCUGCUGCAGUGUAAUUCAAGGUGUGUAGGAUUGAAAGGAUAGAGGAAAGCGUGUUUCAAAAGGACAGAAUGAGAAAAAGAGGAAUGCAUUAGCUAUCAUUUUUACUUCAAAACCUUGUGUUUCAGAACCAUGAGGUGCAGCAAAUUACACUUAAACUCAGCUAUUAGUGUUGAUAUAAGAGAUUCUGUUGUGACAACAUUGGAGUAAAUACCAUAGGUAUAUUCAUGAAUAUAAAAUUUGAUAUGUAGCAAAUGCCUGUUUAGGAACAAACCUAAUGUCAUUAUAGAUUUUGGAAAUAUUGGCUGACAUAUUUGGCAAUGCACUGUCAGGAUGAAUUAGAUCCCACCUUUACUCACAGAACGAUCCUGUCGCAAAUAGAAGAAACUAUCUUGCUCUGUUGCAGACUGCAACCCAUUGUCUGUGCCUCAAGGGUGGCAAAAGAAUGACCCAGGCACAAAGAAACAUGUCAUGCCAAAGGUAAACUGAUGCUGUGCGCAACACUGUUAAAAAGUAUUUCUCAUUAUUGGUCCAAAAUACAACGGACUUCAUUCCCUUUUGUCUAGUUUUGGACUCUCCACCCUGAGUAAACUCACAGCACACAUCUAUGCCAUGCCUUCAUCUAUUUCUAGUCAGCUUUAUAUUUUGUAAAGUAUCAGUUUGGGCCUACCACUUUGCAGUCUUCAUUAUUUUUAACACCACAAUAUCUCAAAAAAAACCAAAAAAAAGGAAAGUGGAAGUAACAGUACAAUAAAGCACACAAUAAGUUUGGACACGCUUCUUUAGAUUUUAAACAACAAAAUAAAACAAAACAAAACAAAACAAAAAAAAACAAAACCAAAAACUAAAUACCACAAAACAAAACAACAAGAAGAAACUUAUUUAGGGACACGCUUCUCUCCAUACAGCAGAUGAGAAGGGUUUAGGAAUUGAAAAUGGGAUUCAAAACUAUGAUAUAAAUCAGAAUAUUAAGUCAGAAUAGGUGUGAUAAAAGUUGAAGUACACCUGAAAUUCUGUUCCUCCUGAGGAAUUCGAGUAUUUAUCUCACAUUGUACUAAGAUAUAUUCAGGAAUCUCAGUCAAUGGCUCAUACAGAGAUUUUUUUAUUCUUGCAGAAAUCCACAAAGGAAAAUUUAAAAUCCCAAAGAGCCUAAUUAAUUAUGAAAUUUGCUUCUUAGCAAAAAUUAAUAAUUAAUCAUACAUCCUUGCUCAGGAAAAUCAUCGGUAACCAGGUGCAUAAUUUCUUGUUUAGCUGAAACAUGAAUGUUGGGAACCCGGAAUUGUUUUGAUACAGGGCGUUUUGUUAUACUCGCUUCAUGCUGAAGUUUUAAUAAUAGUAUAACCACAGUAAUUACAUAGCAACUGCUAAUGUGAACAUAACACAUGUAAUGGAGAGACUUGUAUAGCCUGUAGAAAUUAGGUGCCAAGGGUGGGGUUUGUCUCAUCUAAUUUUAGAGCUCUAAAGUGUUCACGUCUGUCUGCAAGCUGGUCAUCCUUAGACUUUUCAAAAGAGGAAAACCAGUAUUCCUUGAUAUACAGCUGACCUAUUUCAAAUUUCUGCUUUGAGACAGUGUGAACUGUACCCCAAAAGUCCACCAUCUCUCUCCAGAGAGAUGAGGGUUUAGCUGGGAUGUAGAUGCACGUGCUAUAGGCAUUUAUAUUUAACCAAAAUGUGGUCUACCUGCAUUGCAUUAUCUGAGUUUAUUAGGAAAUCCUUUGUAAAAAUCCCAAAUACAUAAGGGCAAUAAGUAUUAAAAAUUUAUUCCUUGGAACACUCCUCUAGGCAAUAUUUAUAGUUACUGUGCUGUCAGUCCCCUGGCAAUAUAAAGUUAUGAGAAAGGAAGUGAAGCACAGAGCAGUCUGUGGAGAACAAAAUUUAAGUAAAUAUGAAUUUUUUCUGGAGUAGUGAUUCAGAAUCUGUUGUCCCAGAAUCUGAAACUCGUACGGCAAUUUUAGACUGGUUUAGUUAGGCUUGAAACUCACGAAAACAUUCCAUUUUGUUCAAGGAAAUCUAAAUCAAAUGCUAGUCAUGAAAUAUCUUUGCAAAGUGGGAUUUAGGAAAAUUUCCUCUUGUUACCACAAAUAAAAAUUACAUGCAAAAUUCUGAAAGAAAGCACAACUGCUUUUUCCUAAAACAAUGUCACCAGGGCAUAAUUGAUGUUAUCUUUUCCAUGACAACUUGAGGGAUUUUUUUUUUUUUAAUUGUUUUAUCAGCUGUAUUAUUUUUCCUUUCUAACUUACUGACUUCUACAGUGAAAGCUGAGUUCUAGACAUGAUGCACAACCUGUGUAUGUAAAUGACAAUGGAUUAUUGUUGUUCUUAUUUUCUCUUUCAAAGCUGAAAAUAUUUUUUUAAAAAAUCAAUAAAAUAUUUUAAAUUGUUUGACAUAACCAGCUUCAUAGGUGUUGUAAUUAAAAUCCUGGUCAGCACUAGAUCCUCCAGAUGUUAUGAUUAGUUCUGUGAAUUGGCCUAGUCUGGGAAGUGUCUCUGUAUAUUGGCCUUCCUCUUCCAGGACAGGUUCUUUGUUUGAACUAUACUCAACAUUUACAAAAAGAAAAAUUUUGGUAUCUGAUAUCAGAUUGCUAUCAAUGAUGUCAGAGACAAAUAUGAUUGAAGUAACUCAGACUCAAUAUUUUGCCAAUAACAUUGCUGGUAUACACUCUGCAGUACAUCUAGCAUCUGAAGCAUUUGAAAUUCCUUUACUACCAAGCUUAAGAAUUUGCAGACUUGAAGAGCAUCUUUCAGAUGUGGGAUCUGUGCAUAGAUUCAGUUCUUCCAAUCUUAUUUCAAACAUAUAUUGCAUUUUUUCUUCUUCUUGUGAGACAAAGACACUUUGUAAUAUGAAAAAAACAAUUCUAAAACAACGUUAUUAUUCUUAAGAAUAGAAUUUAGCAGAGUAUAGUUGUAUGUAAGCAACCAUUUGUCUGGGUUUGGCUUCAUUAUUUUGGCUUUUGCAUACAACUUAAUAGAGUUCAAAACUUUUCUGUUGGCUGCUGCCUUCCUUUAUGUGCCAAAAGGAAUGUCUUUAAAUGCAACAAAAACAAUGGAGAAAAUUGAAGAUUGCUAUGAGCCAAAUCACAGCUAUAUUCAACAUCAUCAACAAUAAAAGUUGAUGUCUGAGAAACGUCCUUUUUUAGGAUACAUGAUGGUUUAGUGAUUAGGAGAGUACUCACUUAGGAAGUGGAAAACCUCCUUUUGCCUGGAGGGAUCUCUUAUGACAGCUCUCACACAUCAGCCUUUUCCUCCCAUGAAUUGCAAGGUGUUAUUAAGCCACUUUACAAUUCUUGUUGAAGCUGGACUGCUGUAAACCUGGAAAAGCAUGAGCUGUGAGAUCAGUGAGAAAGACUGAACCAAAGAGUGUAAAGAGGGCCCCUUUGCAGUGAGAGAUAUUUUUUAUAUAUUUUUUUUUUUCAUUUUGGUUAUAAGUUUAUUUCUAGUUUUAUCCAGGGACAAUCUACGAUAUAAAAUACUUAAACAGUCCCUGGAACAGAGAUCAGAACUCCAGAUAUUUCUUUGUUAAAUUAUAUAGAAUAAGUCAGUAGACCAUCAUACUUCACUUUGGUGUCAUUAAAUGUUAAAAGGAAAGGCUUGUGCUAUGAAUCUGACUUGUACUGAGGAAUAGAUAUGGAAUUCAAGCUGAUGUUCAGAGAACAGAGAAAUGAUAAACCUGUCUAUCUGCAUAAUUCUGACUUGCUCUGCACCAUCAUAUGAACAAUACAGAUCAUAUGAGAAGAGUGUAAUGACUCCUGUACUAAUGUGAAAUUUCCACAAAUAUACUCAUACUAAUUAUGCAAAGCAGUCAUAUCUUGUUAUUGAUAGAUGAAUUAAUGAAGUUCGAAAAUUUGUUCUGUAAUUAAUUUCCACUAGCCCUCAAAUAAUUUUAAUAGACAUUCCCUCCAAUUUUUCGUUUUAUAAAGAGUAAGACUUCAACAACAUCCAAGCAUGGUCUCAGUAUUGAUGAGAGGAGACAAGAAAUUAUUGCUUCAUGUCUUUUCACCACUACCCUGUUUAAUUUUUUUAGGGAUUUAUUUCAUUGAUUUUCUUGCUGGUGCAUCAGUGAAAAGGCUCACUAUUUUUUUGAUUAUCACCUAUCAUCUUCUCAUCUCUUUCACAGCAAUUUUUGUGUUGGUCACUUUACUCUGUAAAUGUGGUCUAAAUUAUUUAGUUCAAAACAAAUUAUUUUGUCUGUAUUAAUUUUUUUACCAUUCUUCUGAAUGUAACUGAGUGAUGAAAACUUGCAUUCGUACUAUGAAAGUCUGGAAAGCUGGGAUUUGACUAAUUACUAAAGGAAGUUGCAAUUAUGACAAAAAAGAGUGCUGCUCUGGAAUGAAUAUUCGUGUUUGAGACACAUUACAAAUAUUUCUUAUGUCUUCUGCCUACAGUUUUGGAAUAGACAAAAUGCUGGUAUGUCUGUUUCUAUGGCUCUUGUGUAGAUGCGUUUUCAGUUUAUCCUGCCUGUCUUCUCACCUAUUCUUCUCUGUGAGGAAAACAUAUAUCUGCUUAAAGUGAAUAUCUUAA